GAUUAGAUACCCUGGUAGUCCACGCCGUAAACGGUGGGUACUAGGUGUGGGUUUCCUUCCUUGGGAUCCGUGCCGUAGCUAACGCAUUAAGUACCCCGCCUGGGGAGUACGGCCGCAAGGCUAAAACUCAAAGAAAUUGACGGGGGCCCGCACAAGCGGCGGAGCAUGUGGAUUAAUUCGAUGCAACGCGAAGAACCUUACCUGGGUUUGACAUGCACAGGACGUGCCUAGAGAUAGGUAUUCCCUUGUGGCCUGUGUGCAGGUGGUGCAUGGCUGUCGUCAGCUCGUGUCGUGAGAUGUUGGGUUAAGUCCCGCAACGAGCGCAACCCUCGUCCUAUGUUGCCAGCGGGUUAUGCCGGGGACUCGUAGGAGACUGCCGGGGUCAACUCGGAGGAAGGUGGGGAUGACGUCAAGUCAUCAUGCCCCUUAUGUCCAGGGCUUCACACAUGCUACAAUGGCCGGUACAAAGGGCUGCGAUGCCGUGAGGUGGAGCGAAUCCUUUCAAAGCCGGUCUCAGUUCGGAUCGGGGUCUGCAACUCGACCCCGUGAAGUCGGAGUCGCUAGUAAUCGCAGAUCAGCAACGCUGCGGUGAAUACGUUCCCGGGCCUUGUACACACCGCCCGUCACGUCAUGAAAGUCGGUAACAC
rnacentral:rRNA from 1 species